rnacentral:misc_RNA from 1 species
ACAGUGAGUGCGACACCGUCUUCAUGGAUGAAAUACACUGCCCUGCCGAGGUGCAAAACCGGAGGGCCUGACAAUACAGCGGUUGCCGCGUCACCGACUGACACGAUUGCCGAGGUGGAGUCGAACGCCGGUUCCUGAUUACUGUCCUGCGUCGGCAAAGCACCAUCGGAAUCCUGGGCAGCGAUCGCUGGAUCGUCGCCUAUUGCUGGCACCGUACUGUCGGAAUCCUGGGCACCGAUCUCUGGAUCGUCACCCAUCGCUGGUAACGGACUGUCGGAAUCCUGGGCACCGAUCUCUGGAUCGUCACCCAUCGCUGGUAACGGACUGUCGGAAUCCUGGGCAGCGGUAUCCGGUACCGGUACUGACGUCACUUCGGGGUCGAGAGCAGCUGCCAUAGCAUCCGCCGAUUGCUCGCCCUGCAUCGGAUCGGCAAUCGCAGCCCUUGAUUCGCGAUCCGUGUUCGUCGCUUCAUCGCGCGGCAAGUCGAACGUUGCCGUUUCCCCAGGUGUACUUGUUUCCUCAAUUGGGGCACCGAAGGUCGACUGCAGCAUCUGUACAAGCGCUGAUUCGCGUGCCAAGUCUAUAUAUUUUGAUGGCACAGGCUGAAUGCCUGACAACAACAUUCCUGCGACUAUGGCGGCGCCGAGCAGAAUGCCGAAGACAAUCGCAAUAACUGCUCCAG